rnacentral:rRNA from 1 species
CCACUUCGGUGGGGAUUAGUGGCGAACGGGUGAGUAACACGUGGGCAAUCUGCCCUGCACUCUGGGACAAGCCCUGGAAACGGGGUCUAAUACCGGAUACUGAUCCGCCUGGGCAUCCAGGCGGUUCGAAAGCUCCGGCGGUGCAGGAUGAGCCCGCGGCCUAUCAGCUUGUUGGUGAGGUAACGGCUCACCAAGGCGACGACGGGUAGCCGGCCUGAGAGGGCGACCGGCCACACUGGGACUGAGACACGGCCCAGACUCCUACGGGAGGCAGCAGUGGGGAAUAUUGCACAAUGGGCGCAAGCCUGAUGCAGCGACGCCGCGUGAGGGAUGACGGCCUUCGGGUUGUAAACCUCUUUCAGCAGGGAAGAAGCGCAAGUGACGGUACCUGCAGAAGAAGCGCCGGCUAACUACGUGCCAGCAGCCGCGGUAAUACGUAGGGCGCGAGCGUUGUCCGGAAUUAUUGGGCGUAAAGAGCUCGUAGGCGGCUUGUCGCGUCGGUUGUGAAAGCCCGGGGCUUAACCCCGGGUCUGCA